rnacentral:RNase_P_RNA from 1 species
CAGGUGUAAUGGAUAGUUAAUUGAAUAAUUUCAAUAGGAAAGUCCGAGCUGCUAUAAGAGAGUGUUUCAUCUAACUGAUGACCAGUGUAAACUGAGGGAAAGUGCAACAGAAAUAUUACAGCCACAUAUGUGGUGAUGGUGAAAAGGUGGUGUAAGAGACCACCGGUUUUUAUGGUAACAUAAAGAGCUUGUAAACCCAACACGGCAGCAAGAAACAAAUGGUUAGCCUCUUAUAAAAGUAUAUUCUUAUACUAAUGCUUUUGUUUCGCUAGAGAUACUUUGUGAAAAGUAUAGUAGAUUAAUGCUAUCAAUACAAAACUCGGCUUAUAUUACACCUAUUUA